rnacentral:rRNA from 1 species
CAUGAAGCUGGAAUCGCUAGUAAUCGCGGAUCAGAAUGCCGCGGUGAAUACGUUCCCGGGUCUUGUACACACCGCCCGUCACACCAUGGGAGUCGGAAAUGCCCGAAGUCUGUGACCCAACCUUAGGGAGGGAGCAGCCGAAGGCAGGUCGGAUGACUGGGGUGAAGUCGUAACAAGGUACC